rnacentral:rRNA from 1 species
AUUGCCUCAGUAACGGCGAGUGAAGCGGCAGAGCUCAAUUUGAAAUCUGGCUCCUUCGGGGCCCGAGUUGUAAUUUGGAGAGGAUGCUUCGGGCGUGGCCCCCAUCUAAGUGCCCUGGAACGGGCCGUCAUAGAGGGUGAGAAUCCCGUCUGGGAUGGGUGGUCCCGCCCGUGUGAAGCUCCUUCGAAGAGUCGAGUUGUUUGGGAAUGCAGCUCUAAGAGGGUGGUAAAUUUCAUCUAAAGCUAAAUAUUGGCCGGAGACCGAUAGCGCACAAGUAGAGUGAUCGAAAGAUGAAAAGCACUUUGAAAAGAGAGUUAAACAGCACGUGAAAUUGUUGAAAGGGAAGCGUUGGCAACCAGACUCGCCCGGGAGGGCUCAGCCGGCACGUGUGCCGGUGCACUCCCCCCCGGGCGGGCCAGCGUCGGUUUGGGCGGUCGGUCAAAGGCCCCGGGAAUGUAGCACCCUCCGGGGUGCCUUAUAGCCCGAGGCGCCAUGCGACCUGCCCAGACCGAGGAACGCGCUCCGGCUCGGACGCUGGCGUAAUGGUUGUCAACGGCCCGUCUUGAAACACGGACCAAGGAGUCUAACAUCUAUGCGAGUGUUCGGGUGUCAAACCCGUCCGCGCAGUGAAAGCGAACGGAGGUGGGAACCCUCUCGGGGGCGCACCAUCGACCGAUCCUGAUGUCUUCGGAUGGAUUUGAGUAAGAGCAUAGCUGUUGGGACCCGAAGAUGGUGAACUAUGCCUGAAUAGGGCGAAGCCAGAGGAAACUCUGGUGGAGGCUCGCAGCGGUUCUGACGUGCAAAUCGAUCGUCAAAUUUGGGUAUAGGGGCGAAAGACUAAUCGAACCAUCUCGUA